GAUGAACGCUGGCGGCGUGCCUAAUACAUGCAAGUCGAGCGAACAGACGAGGAGCUUGCUCCUCUGACGUUAGCGGCGGACGGGUGAGUAACACGUGGAUAACCUACCUAUAAGACUGGGAUAACUUCGGGAAACCGGAGCUAAUACCGGAUAAGAUAUUGAACCGCAUGGUUCAAUAGUGAAAGACGGUUUUGCUGUCACUUAUAGAUGGAUCCGCGCCGCAUUAGCUAGUUGGUAAGGUAACGGCUUACCAAGGCAACGAUGCGUAGCCGACCUGAGAGGGUGAUCCGCCACACUGGACCUGAGACACGGUCCAGACUCCUACGGGAGGCAGCAGUAGGGACUCUUCCCAAUGGGCGAAAGCUUGACGGAGCAACGCCGCGUGAGUGAUGAAGGUCUUCGGAUCGUAAAACUCUGUUAUUAGGGAAGAACAAAUGUGUAAGUAACUAUGCACGUCUUGACGGUACCUAAUCAGAAAGCCACGGCUAACUACGUG
rnacentral:rRNA from 1 species